UGAUAGUUCAGUAGGAAGAGCAUGAAAUUUUUAAUGUCAUGGUUGUGGGUUUGAGCCCCAUAUUGCGCAA